AUGGAUCCGCGCUGCAUUAGCUAGUUGGUAAGGUAACGGCUUACCAAGGCAACGAUGCAUAGCCGACCUGAGAGGGUGAUCGGCCACACUGGAACUGAGACACGGUCCAGACUCCUACGGGAGGCAGCAGUAGGGAAUCUUCCGCAAUGGGCGAAAGCCUGACGGAGCAACGCCGCGUGAGUGAUGAAGGUCUUCGGAUCGUAAAACUCUGUUAUUAGGGAAGAACAUAUGUGUAAGUAACUGUGCACAUCUUGACGGUACCUAAUCAGAAAGCCACGGCUAACUACGUGCCAGCAGCCGCGGUAAUACGUAGGUGGCAAGCGUUAUCCGGAAUUAUUGGGCGUAAAGCGCGCGUAGGCGGUUUUUUAAGUCUGAUGUGAAAGCCCACGGCUCAACCGUGGAGGGUCAUUGGAAACUGGAAAACUUGAGUGCAGAAGAGGAAAGUGGAAUUCCAUGUGUAGCGGUGAAAUGCGCAGAGAUAUGGAGGAACACCAGUGGCGAAGGCGACUUUCUGGUCUGUAACUGACGCUGAUGUGCGAAAGCGUGGGGAUCAAACAGGAUUAGAUACCCUGGUAGUCCACGCCGUAAACGAUGAGUGCUAAGUGUUAGGGGGUUUCCGCCCCUUAGUGCUGCAGCUAACGCAUUAAGCACUCCGCCUGGGGAGUACGACCGCAAGGUUGAAACUCAAAGGAAUUGACGGGGACCCGCACAAGCGGUGGAGCAUGUGGUUUAAUUCGAAGCAACGCGAAGAACCUUACCAAAUCUUGACAUCCUUUGACAACUCUAGAGAUAGAGCCUUCCCCUUCGGGGGACAAAGUGACAGGUGGUGCAUGGUUGUCGUCAGCUCGUGUCGUGAGAUGUUGGGUUAAGUCCCGCAACGAGCGCAACCCUUAAGCUUAGUUGCCAUCAUUAAGUUGGGCACUCUAAGUUGACUGCCGGUGACAAACCGGAGGAAGGUGGGGAUGACGUCAAAUCAUCAUGCCCCUUAUGAUUUGGGCUACACACGUGCUACAAUGGACAAUACAAAGGGCAGCGAAACCGCGAGGUCAAGCAAAUCCCAUAAAGUUGUUCUCAGUUCGGAUUGUAGUCUGCAACUCGACUACAUGAAGCUGGAAUCGCUAGUAAUCGUAGAUCAGCAUGCUACGGUGAAUACGUUCCCGGGUCUUGUACACACCGCCCGUCACACCACGAGAGUUUGUAACACCCGAAGCCGGUGGAGUAACCUUUUAGGAGCUAGCCGUCGAAGGUGGGACAAAUGAUUGGGGUGAAGUCGUAACAAGGUAGCCGUAUCGGAAGGUGCGGCUGGAUCACCU
rnacentral:rRNA from 1 species